rnacentral:rRNA from 1 species
ACGCUCGACGCCUACGGGAGACAGCAGUGGGGAAUAUUGCACAAUGGGGGAAACCCUGAUGCAGCGACGCCGCGUGAGCGAAGAAGUAUUUCGGUAUGUAAAGCUCUAUCAGCAGGGAAGAAACUGACGGUACCUGACUAAGAAGCACCGGCUAAAUACGUGCCGGCAGCCGCGGUAAUCUGAGCGGGCUGGCAAGGC